AGUGAACGCUGGCGGUAGGCCUAACACAUGCAAGUCGAACGGCAGCACAGUAAGAGCUUGCUCUUACGGGUGGCGAGUGGCGGACGGGUGAGGAAUACAUCGGAAUCUACUUUUUCGUGGGGGCUAACGUAGGGAAACUUACGCUAAUACCGCAUACGACCUACGGGUGAAAGCAGGGGAUCUUCGGACCUUGCGCGAUUGAAUGAGCCGAUGUCGGAUUAGCUAGUUGGCGGGGUAAAGGCCCACCAAGGCGACGAUCCGUAGCUGGUCUGAGAGGAUGAUCAGCCACACUGGAACUGAGACACGGUCCAGACUCCUACGGGAGGCAGCAGUGGGGAAUAUUGGACAAUGGGCGCAAGCCUGAUCCAGCCAUACCGCGUGGGUGAAGAAGGCCUUCGGGUUGUAAAGCCCUUUUGUUGGGAAAGAAAAGCAGCAGGUUAAUACCCCGCUGUUCUGACGGUACCAAAAGAAUAAGCACCGGCUAACUUCGUG
rnacentral:rRNA from 1 species